GAUGAACGCUGACAGAAUGCUUAACACAUGCAAGUCGAUGGGGAAGUGGUGCUUGCACCAUGGCAACCAUGGCGGACGGGUGAGUAAUGCGUAAGGGACUUACCUGCAGGACUGGGAUAACAGGGGGAAACUCCUGACAAGACCGGAUAAUGUCAUGGAGCUGCAUGGCUUUAUGAUGAAAGGAGACGCCUGCGGAGAGCCUUGCGUCCUAUUAGCUAGUUGGUGAGGUAAUGGCUCACCAAGGCGAAGAUAGGUAGCCGGCCUGAGAGGGUGGACGGCCACAAGGGGACUGAGAUACGGCCCUUACUCCUACGGGAGGCAGCAGUGGGGAAUAUUGGACAAUGGGGGCAACCCUGAUCCAGCAAUUCUGUGUGCACGAAGAAGGUUUUCGGAUUGUAAAGUGCUUUCAGCAGGGAAGAAGUAAGUGACGGUACCUGCAGAAGAAGCGACGGCUAAAUACGUG
rnacentral:rRNA from 1 species